rnacentral:rRNA from 1 species
UACAGAGGUGGCAAGCGUUGUUCGGAAUUACUGGGCGUAAAGGGCGCGUAGGCGGCCUACUAAGUCAGACGUGAAAUCCCCCGGCUUAACCUGGGAACUGCGUCUGAUACUGGAAGGCUUGAGGAUGGGAGAGGGAUGUAGAAUUCCAGGUGUAGCGGUGAAAUGCGUAGAUAUCAGGAGGAACACCUAUUGCGAAGGCAGCUCGCUGGGACGUUACUGACGCUGAGACGCGAAAGCGUGGGGAGCAAACAGG